AAGAGAAAGAAAUUCCAAGCCUCUCACUUCUAUCUCUCCUUCACGUGUUUCCCCUCCCCUCUCUCUCUUCACCUUGAUUCCCUCUCCUCUGUCCGGCGAUGCUGCCGCCACGCCGCCGACCCCCUUGGUGCUUCUCUCACCGGCGGAGUUGUUGUUCUUGUUGUUGAUUGUUUCUGUCGCUGCCUUGCUUACUCCCCGCCAGCCCUCCUCCUCUCGCCAGUCUCUCCCCUCUCUCAUUCUAGUUCAUGCCGCCGGCUAUGGUGGUUGAUGGUCACCAACAUCCUAACUCCACCAUUGAAUGGUAAGUCCCUCUCUUAUUUGAAUCAAUUGAUUUUGAAUUAGGAAUCUAGAAACCCUAACUAAAUAAUUUUUAUCUUUUUGGGUGUUCCGGCUUCGGUGUUGCCGUUUUGGUGGUGAUACCAUCUCUUGUGUGAGUGUUGGUUGUCUUGGUUUUGUUUCUUUUCUCUUGUUCUCCCCUGCUCUCCCGUGUCACCUCUCUGGCUCCUCCGCCAGGCUCGCCGGACCACCAGCCCCGUGGUCGGAGUUGUGCCGUUUUAUUUUUCUAUUGUUGUUGAUGCCCUUGUUGCUAAUACUCUGCCUUCUAUUUGUCUCAAGGGUACAAUUCUAACCUAAAAUUUAUUCCGUUAAUUUCAAUUUCAUCUAAUUUAACUUUAUGACUAUAAGAAUAUAAUUUACAACCAUAUUAUUGUUUUGAUUACAUAGAAAUGAUUUGAAUUAUUGAAUUAAGCCGAUUUUGAUAAUAUGUUUGAGUGAUUUAGAUUAAUGUUUAUUGAUACAAGGAAGGGUUAUAGUAUAAAAAUAUAGAGUUUUCCUCAACUGUUUUUAUUAAUCAAAUAUAUAUUAUAAUUAUGGUUUCAAUCAUGAUUCAUGUCUAGCAACCCAAAUCAGUUUUCUUGUGGUAGAAUAAUUUCAUGGUAAUUUCAAACUAAGCUUUCGAAAAUCAUUUAAGAUUCUAAAGAAUUCAUCAAGUCCUAGUUGAUUCUAGUGAGUAGCUUAUUGAUUCAAGCUUUUCUGGAUGAGGUCAAUGAUUGGAGAAGGGAUGAGGAGAUUUGAAUCAUGGACUUAAGUGGAGAGCGAUGAUCAAAUGAGGCUUGGGAUUUAUGUGUAACGAUUCGAGGUUGGAUGUGUAUACUCAGAUUUCCGCUGAUUUUGUUCAAUGAACCUGUCCUGGUGGGGGGAAGAGUAAAAAUGUUUCCCAGGUAGCGGGAAUCGAGUCUUAGUGCACGUUCAAGGUGCGUAGAGUCCUCCAGAGGGCUUAUAUGUUUCAAGGCGGGUUUAUGGAUUCUCCAUGUGUAUUUAAGAUUUACCCAAUUUAUUAAUGAGUUGUAUUAUUCCUUUCUAGAGCUUUUUGGUUCAUUAUUUAUGGAUUUUAUAUCCGUAUUGGAGUUCUAAUUAAGUUAAGUGUCGUUGACGA